rnacentral:rRNA from 1 species
AGAGACCAGAGAGAAGCGACUGUUUACUAAAAACACAGGUCCAUGCGAAGUCGUAAGACGAUGUAUAUGGACUGACGCCUGCCCGGUGCUGGAAGGUUAAGAGGACCGGUUAGCCGUAAGGCGAAGCUGAGAAUUUAAGCCCCAGUAAACGGCGGUGGUAACUAUAACCAUCCUAAGGUAGCGAAAUUCCUUGUCGGGUAAGUUCCGACCUGCACGAAUGGCGUAACGACUUCUCUGCUGUCUCAACCACAGACUCGGCGAAAUUGCAGUACGAGUAAAGAUGCUCGUUACGCGCGGCAGGACGAAAAGACCCCGGGACCUUCACUAUAGCUUGGUAUUGGUGUUCGGUUCGGUUUGUGUAGGAUAGGUGGGAGACUGUGAAGCGGGCACGCCAGUGUUCGUGGAGUCGUUGUUGAAAUACCACUCUGAUCGUAUUGGAUACCUCAACCUCGGACCAUGAUCUGGUUCAGGGACAGUGCCUGGUGGGUAGUUUAACUGGGGCGGUUGCCUCCCAAAAUGUAACGGAGGCGCCCAAAGGUUCCCUCAGCCUGGUUGGCAAUCAGGUGUUGAGUGCAAGUGCACAAGGGAGCUUGACUGUGAGACUGACAGGUCGAGCAGGGACGAAAGUCGGGACUAGUGAUCCGGCACCGGCAAGUGGAAGCGGUGUCGCUCAACGGAUAAAAGGUACCCCGGGGAUAACAGGCUGAUCUUCCCCAAGAGUCCAUAUCGACGGGAUGGUUUGGCACCUCGAUGUCGGCUCGUCGCAUCCUGGGGCUGGAGUAGGUCCCAAGGGUUGGGCUGUUCGCCCAUUAAAGCGGCACGCGAGCUGGGUUUAGAACGUCGUGAGACAGUUCGGUCUCUAUCCGCCGCGCGCGUUAGAAUCUUGAGGA